UAAAACAACGAUACAUUCAAACGAUGAAAUUAAAAAUAUAAAAUAAAUUAAAUAAAAUCUACAUAGAAACCACGUAGGAAAAUACACCAAAUUUGCUUGACAAAAAGAAGAAAAUAAAAUACACCAAAUUAGACAACAAUAUGUUUCAUGAAUCAUGUGAUCAGUGAGCUAAUUGUCAACAAAAAUUGGCACUAUUUCUUGCUUACAUGAAUAUGGUAGAACUGUAAAAAAAAAAUGAAUAUGGUAGACCAUUUACUAGAUGCAGUUUUUUGCUUUUAAACUUAAUUUUGACACCCUCGGAAAAAUAUACAAUAUAUAUAUGUACUGCAAUUUGUACAAGAUUGUCACCAUUGACAUUGUCCAACACUCCAACCAUAAUUCGAUGAUGUUUUCUCUCCCCAUCCCGUGAAUCUUUUAUCCCCCUGAGUUUCCAAUUUUGCCCUUGAAAAAACUUCGGUUCGUAGAAACCGAAGUUUUUUUUUGCCUUGAAAACAAAUUUCGGUUUCUAAAAACCGAAAUUUACUCUGAAUUUGCACUAGAAAAAAUUCGGUUUCUACGAACCGAAUUUUUCUACAAGGACAAAAUUGAAAUAUUGGGGGUAUAAAAGAUUCAUGGAAAUGGGGAUGAGAAAACAUCUAAUUCGAUUGUACUUUUUUGUAAAGCUGAAUUUUUAUGGUCUAAACUGAAUUUGUCCACCUUCUAAGAAAAGGACAACACAACCGCAAUUAUUUUUGACAUGACCUACAACAGUGAUCCGUGCUAGUGUAUCAAACAAAAAACUCAGCUCAAAUAUUUCCAGCUUAAGGGACAUGACAUACAAAUUAAGUUUCAUAUACAUACUGGUUUUCUAUUUAUAUAUCUCUUCCCAACUAUACAAAACAAAAAUAAAUUAGUGGAAAAAAAACUAUACCAUGAGAGAUAUAAGAUGAUUUGAUGGUCAAGGCGAAUGAGUUAGGGAGUGAAGUAAUAAUAAGAAUAAGGGUUUGAUUCUCACCGGCCCACAUCAAAACUAAUAAGAAUGCAAUAAUAUCAAUUAUUAAUAUUGG
rnacentral:lncRNA from 1 species